AGGUUAACAAAGAUGUUCAUGUUUUGUACUGCUUGAGUGAAUGAGCACACAAUUUGCUACAUCAUUAUCUGCUCUGGUACCCUUGCAAGUACAUCAAAAAUUUUUUGUUACUGUAUGGUAUUUGAAAACAAUUAUAUUAUUUGAAUACAUUUAUAUUAAUCAUAAACUAAUUAAUGAAAUACAUGUUUACAUACAUA